UGGUCUACUGCCACGACUGAAAAAGACGCUCCCUAUCUCCCAGACCCAACGAGAAAACCAAAGGGAUUCCAUCUACCUCGUAAGAUCUGGUGUCGUCUGAAUAGGUUGAGAACAGGUCAUGGCCGCUGUAAUUAUUCUCAACAUAAGUGGGGUUGGAAGGAGUCUCCUCUCUGCGAGUGCGGCGAAGAAGACCAAUUCACUGAGCACAUAUUUCGGCGCUACCCGCUUCACUCCUAUCCUGGCCCAGCUGAGGACCUUGAUGCCCUGACACCCGACGUGGUUACCUGGCUUAACAACCUCAAAGCUGUUCUCUGAUUGUCUAAACAUGCAUGCCAUACGAUUAACUAAAUAAAUCUAUCAAUCAUUGAAAUUGAUAAUAAAUGGCUUGCUUUAUUUUUGUAAUGCUGGCACUUUAUAAUCUAAAUUAAUAGAAAUGUGAAAUUUUCUUCUACGUUCAAACUAGAACUAGGGGUAUAUAAAGCCACCGUUUUGAAUUUUUCAUCAGUACAUUCAAAUCAUUCGUCUAUAAACGAUUAAAAAACUUAAAAAAAAUAUACCUAUUACCAAGUUCUUGAAAAUCAUCCUAUUUACAACUUUAUCCGCUUCAGUCCGUUUUUGGACGUCUAGUAUUUUGCUACUUGGUAGUACUCUCUACAAACAAUAAACAUGUGCUGCGGAGGUUGUGGUCCCUGUUGUGGAGGCUGCUGCGGCGGAUGCUGCUGCCCUAGCAUCACUAUCUACACAUGUUGCACCAAGAUCUGCUGAGUAGUCGCCGCAGAGGUGCCGGCAGUCAUGCCCGCGCUUCUGACGCUUCUACCGAAACCCGUGUUGUGUGGAUGUUAUAUUCUCACAAGUAUUGUUGCGUGAAAUAAAUUAUGUAUUAAGCUUA